GAUGAACGCCGGCGGCGUGCUUAACACAUGCAAGUCGAACGGAGUUCCUUGGAUAGAGGCUUCGGCCAAUUGAAAUGGAACUUAGUGGCGGACUGGUGAGUAACGCGUGAGCAACCUGCCUUACAGUACGGGAUAACGUUUGGAAACGACCGCUAAUACCGUAUGAUGCAUCGAGAUCGCAUGUUUUUGAUGCCAAAGAUUUAUUGCUGUAAGAUGGGCUCGCGUCCCAUUAGGUAGUUGGCGGGGAACGGCCCACCAAGCCUACGAUGGGUAGCCGGACUGAGAGGUUGAACGGCCACAUUGGAACUGAGAAACGGUCCAG
rnacentral:rRNA from 1 species